rnacentral:ribozyme from 1 species
GCACUGCUUUCCCAGACCUUUCCUCACCCUUUUGCGCUUUCCUCUUCACUGCUCCGCACACGCCGCCCGCCACCUUAGCUGCAAGCAAGAAUCCACCAUGGCUGACACCGAACCAACCACGAAGCCUGUUGAGGGAGA